AGUGAACGCUGGCGGUAGGCCUAACACAUGCAAGUCGAACGGCAGCACAGGAGAGCUUGCUCUCUGGGUGGCGAGUGGCGGACGGGUGAGGAAUACAUCGGAAUCUACUCUGUCGUGGGGGAUAACGUGGGGAAACUUACGCUAAUACGGCAUACGACCUACGGGUGAAAGCAGGGGAUCUUCGGACCUUGCGCGAUUGAAUGAGCCGAUGUCGGAUUAGCUGGUUGGCGGGGUAAAGGCCCACCAAGGCGACGAUCCGUAACUGGUCUGAGAGGACGAUCAGCCACACUGGAACUGAGACACGGUCCAGACUCCUACGGGAGGCAGCAGUGGGGAAUAUUGGACAAUGGGCGCAAGCCUGAUCCAGCCAUACCGCGUGGGUGAAGAAGGCCUUCGGGUUGUAAAGCCCUUUUGUUGGGAAAGAAAUCCAGCUGGCUAAUACCCGGUUGGGAUGACGGUACCCAAAGAAUAAGCACCGGCUAACUUCGUGCCAGCCGCCGCCGUAA
rnacentral:rRNA from 1 species